ACAACCUUGAACUCCUCUUGGACUCAAGUGAUCUUCCCACCUCAGCUUCUGGAGUAGCUGGACCACAGGUGUGCACCACCAUGCCCAGCUGGGGAUGCACCUUUGAUUGUCUUUGAUCAAAUAGGCUGUUUUACAACUCUGUUGGAAUAAAAAAAGUGCUUUGUGGAAAACUGAUAACCACGUUCUUGUUCAUGGCAAUGUAAGUGAAUUUUGUCUGAUAGAGGAUAUAAAUCAUUUUAAGUCAGAAACCCAUUUGAACUAAUUUUAAUGUAUCUCUAGUUCUCUCAUUUGUAAAUGCAUGAAAUCUUUGAUAUGUGUUCAUUUUAUAUUUGUAUAAGAUUUGUGAUUUUUGCACUUUUGGAAAUGAUACUUCAGCUAUAGUAAUAAUGCAUGUUUGUUUUUAUUCGAUAAAUAUUCAUCUGCAUAUGUAACAAAUAUUUAUUGAGUACCUACAAUGUCAGAACACAGUGCUAGGCACUAUAUAGCAGAUAUAUAUAUGUAUAUAUACACAAAUGAUACAUAAAUACACACUAGAGUUAAAAAGUUAAACAAUACAGUAUUAUCUAGAGCAUAUAACAACAUAAAGGUGAUUUUCCAUCUUUCUGGAAACACUUCUUUCCCUAGAAAUAACCACUGUUGUUAACUGUUUGCCAGAGUUUCUUGCAGAUCUGUUUCUUAUGUAAGUAUAUAUGCACAUGCAUAUAUUCUACAUAAUGUUCUGUGACAUAAUUUUUUAUUUAAUAUUAUGCCUUAAAGCACUUUUUGUGUUUAUAAGUACAUUCUAAUUCUUUAAAAUCAUUAUAUAUAUACAUGGUGUGACUGUACCAUAUUUUACUUAGCCAUUUGUACAGCAGACAUUUAGGGAUUUCCCCGAUUUUGUAGUUAUUAAAAUAACACUGCAAUAAACAUCCUUGAACAUAUAUUUAUGAAACAUGUGCAAUUCUAUAGAUACCUAGACAUGGAGCAAUAGAUCAAAGAAUACGUGCAUUCAAUACUUUGAUAAAUUCUACAAGAUUUCCCUCCCAGAUGGCUGUACCAAUUGCUAUAUGUUGAUUAACUCAGAUUCCUAUUAUAAUACCUCUGAGGAUGAUGUUGGGGUGGAGAUAGAAAUAUGUUAGAAUAGAUAGAAUAGGUUGUGCCACUAACUUCUCUAACUGGUGUGUGGACUUAUCCUUUCUUUAAUUCUAACACCAACUGCGAGAAUUGCUUAUUUUAGAACUUCCAUUUGAGAAAGCUGAGGCCAAAUGCAGGAAAUUGCAGUUUUCGCAGUUUUCUUUCAUUUCCCCUCACCCGCCUACUCUGCUAUCACAUGAAGAUCCAAGUUACAUCAGAUCCUUCUCCUCUCCCAGCUCCAUUACUUACCAGGAGCCAUCUCAGGCAGGCUGGGUUUUACUUUGUGUCUUCGUCCAUUCAGGGUGCGGUAAGAAAGUACCAUAAACUGGGUGGCUUAAACAACUUAUGCUUAUUUCUCACAGUUCUGGAGGCUGGGAAAUCUGAGAUCAAUGUUCUGGCAGAUCUAGUGUCUGGUGAGGGCCCUCUUCCUGGUUUGCAGAUAGCUGCCUUCUCGUUGUACCCUUACAGGGUAGAGAACAGAGAAACAGAGAGGCAGAAAGAGAGAGAGAGAGAGAGAAUGAGAAAGAGAGCACUCUCAUGUCUGUUCUUCUAAGGGCACUCAUCCUGUCAUGAGGACUCCACUCUAAUAAACUAAUUUCCUCCCAAAGGCCCCAUCUCCAAAUACCAUCACACUGGGAAUUUUAGGGUUUCAAGAUGUGAAUUUGGAGGUGACACAUUCAGUCCAUAGUACUUUGUUUUAGAAUUUUCUCUCCAGACAUGAGUCUGACAGCACAUACCCCUGCUGAUGUGGAGGAAGAGUGGUAGACAGUUGUGGCCCCACCCUUUGAAACCAAGGAUGCAGCCCUGAUGAAUCACCUUUGAAGUCAUUCUUUCCUUUUCUUGAAGAAUAGUUCCUGUUUGCAGUCAAAUCGCUCUAUCGUAACUGUCCUAUAGAAUUUAAAUCUGACAGCCUUUCUUCAUUUUGUCCUGUCUCCAUCUUCUUCAGUUCAAACUGACAGUAUUUCUGCUGAUAUAAUUCUAUAACCUUUGUUAUCAAGUGAUAGUCUAGCCACACUCUUGGUGUCCUCUUCCAAACAUGCCUUCACAUAUUUUGCAAUAUGGGCAGGCUGAAGAUUUUCCAAAUCUUUAAGCUCUGGUUCCUUUUUGCAUAACAAUUUCUUCUUCAAUUCAUUUCUCACUUCUUACAUUUUACUAAGCAAGAGGAACCAAGACACUCCUGUAGCACUUGGCUUAGAAAUCUGCAUAGCUAAAUAUCUAGUUUCAUCGCUUCCAAGUUCUGCCUUUCACAAAACACUAGGACACAACUCAGACAAUUUCUGUGACAUUUUAUGACCAGAAUCACGUUUCCUCCAGUUUCCAAUAAUUUAUGUUCCUCUUUCCAUCUGAGAUCUCCUCAGAAUGGCCUUUAACACCUGGUAUUUCUGCCAACAGUCCCUUCAUGACUGUCUAGGUUUUUUUCUAGCAUGCACCUCAAAACUCUUCUGACCUCUAUCUACCUUGUACCCAGUUUUAAAGCCUCUUCCACAUUUUCAAGUAUAGUUUGCAACACACCCCAUUCUGUAUACCAAAAUCUGUAUUAAUUAGCUUGGGCUGCCAUCACAAAAUACCACAGACUGAUGGCAUAAACAACAGAAACUUAUUUUCUCCCAAUUCUGAAGGCUGAAAGUCAAGAUCACAGUACCAGCCUGACUGGUUUCUGUUGAGGGCCCUCUUCCUGGCUUGCAGACGGUUGCCUUCUUGCUAUGUCCUCACAUGGUGGAGAGAAAAGGAGAGCUAUCCAGUGACCUUUCUUAUAAGGACACUAAUCCUAUCAGACCAUGGCCUUACCCUUAUGACCACAUGUGACUACAAUUACUUCUCAUUACAGAACAGAAUAUUUAAGAGGCUACAAGAAAUUGAAUCAACAUAUAUUGCUGAGCAGCUGCAUGUGGAAAAGGAAGGGUGAGGAAUUAAGAAACGUAGGCACGUUUUUGACUUGGGUGGCCAGGUGGCUGGUGUUGUCAUUCCUGGAGACUGGGACUACAGGAGGAGAAAUAGGGUUGAAGGAAGAUGGAAGAGAAAAAAUGAGAUGCCUAGUGUUGAUCUAUGACAGUUAAUCUGACAGACAAAAAUCACUUACCCCUUGGAGCUUAUAUUCUUGGAAAGGUGGAGAGAGGAAAGACAGACCAAUAAACAAAUGAAUAUAUAAAAUGUUAGCUGCCUCUACAGGUAUUAUCAAAGAGAAGAUGAGAACCUUGAACUGAGAGGACCUCACAAGCCUGUAGUGAAGGAAGACCCUGUUGCCAAGAUGAGGUGCAGACGGUGGAGUUAAUCAUUCUCCUCAGUUCCUACUUGGUGAAUGUUUCAUGCAUCCGUGUGAAGAGAGUCCACCAAACAGGCUUUGUGUCUUUACCUCUCAACUGAACCCUGAACUCCUGGAGAAUAGAUGCUGUCGGGAAAUCACCAGCUUCUCACAAAGCAAUGAUCGUUGAAUAAAUCCUUGUUAAAUAAUGACAGUUUUCCUUUUUGGAUUGCUGUGAUCUCUACUCCCAUCACGACUGCUAAGCCUUGGGCAGGAGACCUUGUAUUCCCAGCCAGCUAUUCUUCCCACCGCCAUCCGUAGUUGGUCUCACUAUGUUGUGCAGGCUGGCCUCAAACUCCUGGGCUCAAGGGAUCUUCUCAUCUCAUCCUUCCAAAGGGCUGCGAUUACAAGUCUGUUUUAGGCACAUCUUGUAUCCCUCUUGCCUCAACUCUGGAAUUGGUUACCACUACUUCUGAACUGGGUGGCAGCUACAGACAGAGGUGGUAAGGGAGUAAUUGCUUAGGAUUGGACUGAGCUGAAGAAUGUUUAGCCUGGCGGUACUAGUGCAACUGGAAGAACAGAUGAACCAUAGUUUGCAACACAAAGCCAAGUCAACCAACAGAAGAAAUAUAUAUUUUAAGAAGAUUUUAUAUUUUCAACUGAAAACGUUCAUGUCAGUUGUGAAUGUAUUUGUAAUUGGCAGCCCCAAAUCAUCUCCCUUUUUAUUUUUGAGAAAGUGUAGUGUGCUUUAGUAUUUGGAACAUUCAUUUAAACCUAUUAAAUUAUAUUUUAAAAUGCACUGUUCCCAUUUCAAUCAAAAUUGGUUUUAUACUAUAUAUUGUAACACUAAAGUGCUUCUGGUAAUUUGCUUGUAAAACCAAAACUCUUUUAAAUUUAUCCACUUGUCCCUUUCAGAAAUGACGUGUUUGUGCAUAGGACUUGUUAGUAUUCUGAUUCAAACAAAACUACAGUACAUGUAAAAACAUAUUUAUAGAACAUAAAUAAGAAAAUGUGAACCCUGAAGAAUAUUUGAUGGAACUAAUGGACUAUUCUAAUUUUUAUGUGUGAAAAUGAUAAUGUGAUUUUUUAAAAGAGUCCUUCUUUUUUAGACAUGCACACUGAAAUAAUUAUAGAUGAAAUUAUGCAAUGUCUGUGAUUUGUUUCAAAAUAGUCUGGUGCUUAGGGAGAGAGAAGUGGGUGGGGAGAGAGAUGAAAUAAGCUUAGUUAUGAGUUGGUAAUUGUUGAAGCUGGGUCCUAUAUAUAUAUGGGGGUAAGGUCAUAUUCUAUUCUACUUUUGCAUAGAUUUGAAAUUUUUCAUAAUAAAAAGUUAAAAACAAAUCACACACCAAAAAAACUCCCAAACCCAACUGUCAUUAUUUAAUAACUUUGAACUUGGUAUGGACCUAAGAAGGCAUCUUUUACAAGGGAAAUGUGCAGUUCCAAGUCUUUUUCUUGAUGAUUGGGUCUGAAUGUGUUAAUCAAUGCUGCCCUGUCAUAGCCCCGACAUAGGGAAAAUGCUGAAAUGUGAUUUUUAAAUCAUAAAAAUGUGCCCAUAGUAAUAGCUCCAUCUUUUGCACAAUAUUUAAAUCAAUUCAUUGAUUUCCAGUUGCCUGAUAUUCUUAUUUCAGUAACAAAAUAAACGAUACAUAGUUCAGUAAAGUUGAAUCCAUUUGGGUUCAUUUGUGCUCGAAGUCUGAAGCCAAGUAAGAUCUGCUUCUUAGCUGCAUGUCAGGGGAUAAGGCAUCAGUCUCUUUGUAAGGCUUGGUUUCCUUUUUUUUCUUUUAUCGUACAGUUUCUAACCACGUUCAUGAAUAGAUAAAUUAAGGACAAAAUACAUCUAUAUCCCUCCUUGGCUCUUUGUUUAUUUGCAUAUACAGAAUUACUAAUAUAGUCCAUGUCUGUAAAUGUCUUAAAAAUGUCUCCAUUAAAAAAAUCCAGAAAAAUGA
rnacentral:lncRNA from 1 species